UGUGACAGACGUGUCGAGGUGGGAGGAGACGGUGCUGAACCCUGCACUGCAGAUACUGGACAGCCUCAGGAAGGGUGAGGAGCCAGCUAUUGCACCAAUCAGAGUUCAGGGGGCGGAGCUGAGAAACAAACGGAGCUACCACACCUGUGACCUGUGCGAUAAAGUCAUAAUAGGCGACCUGGAGUGGACAGCUCACCUGAAAUCCAAGAAGCAUCACUAUCAUGUGAGGAAAAAGAGGAAGCCUGAUCCAGCGGGUGACCAGUCCCUGAUCACCAGUGCACCUCCUGUGUCUGCAGCAGAGACUCCCUCAGAGGACUGUGGUGCUGCUGUUGCUCCGGGCUGCAGUGAAACCUCUCCGGAUUCUUCCAGAGACACCAGGACAACAAACAAGGAAGUACCUGUGGCAUUUUAAAAGCUGACUCUGGACCUCAUCCAUUUUCAUUCAGGUUUCCACCACUGUAGUGCACUAACAAAUGGACGUUUAAUUACAGUCCUCUCUUUCCUCCCAUGCAGCCGAAUGGAAGUAAUGACUCUGAACUGUGUUCAUUGUGGAUUCGAACAAAAAACGCUUUUGAAAUCCUGCAUAAAAUACUCUGAUCCAUGGAUGUUCAGGGGCACAAGCAAAGGUCCUUGAAGCCGUUCGUUUUUGUCGUGGCGAUGUGAACUCUAAGGAUAAAUUAGAGCUUUAAUGGUCUGUGCAGCCAAAGAAUUAUGCAUUUUAAUGGUUUUUUUUCUAAAUUUCAUUUACAUUUUAAGAGGUUUAUUUUUCUAUUUCUAUAGAUUGUGCCUUAACUUUUAGAACCCAAAGCAGUUUCUAGAUGCUAUUUUUCUCCUGCCGCAUUUCUACUUACUGUGGGCUCAUUUUUCACUGCAAUGUAAAGAAAGCACACAGCUAUAGCUAGAAGUAGACAGAACUCAGAAAUGUCUUUUUUGCAGUAUGACAUAGUUCUAAUACCAUAAAUGGCUAAAAAAGAAAUAAAAAUGAAAGAAUUUCUUUGAUUACUAUAUAUAUUUUACAAAAAUUGAGUAUAAAUGUAUUUUUUUCCAAGGUCCCACAUACAGUAAAAACAUGUUACAUACUAUAGAUAUUUUCCUACCUUCAUUUUAAAUUUGUUUCCAUGCUUGACACCUGUCUGACACAGCCUGCAGUUCAGCCUAAAAUAACUUUUGUCAUGUGACUGUUGGUUGUCGCUAAUGACUUCUUGGUUAAGGAGCACAGAAUUUAUAGUUUUUUAUAAAAUUGAGUGCAAGUGGUUUAUUUUGGAUUAUUUUUCAAUGAAAGCAAUUUUGAUGAAAUAUUAUUUUAAGCUUAGAUUCGGGUUGGUUUUCUGAUGGAGCACAACAUCACAUCAAAAAGCUGUAAAUCAGACGAGUCUUCCUGUUUUUGUAGUUUCUGUCUCUAUUAUUACCAAACCUGCUGGCGGGUUUUGAGGUUCAGAAGUUAAAUAAAAUGUUGAUGAGUCAUAUCGACUGAAAACCUU